AUUGAACGCUGGCGGCAUGCCUUACACAUGCAAGUCGAACGGCAGCACGGGGCAACCUGGUGGCGAGUGGCGAACGGGUGAGUAAUGCAUCGGAACGUACCUUUCAGUGGGGGAUAACGUAGCGAAAGUUACGCUAAUACCGCAUAUUCUGUGAGCAAGAAAGCAGGGGAUCGCAAGACCUUGCGCUGAUUGAGCGGCCGAUGUCAGAUUAGCUAGUUGGUGGGGUAAAGGAUCACCAAGGCGACGAUCUGUAGCGGGUCUGAGAGGAUGAUCCGCCACUCUGGAACUGAGACACGGUCCAGACUCCUACGGGAGGCAGCAGUGGGGAAUUUUGGACAAUGGGGGCAACCCUGAUCCAGCCAUGCCGCGUGAGUGAAGAAGGCCUUCGGGUUGUAAAGCUCUUUCGGCCGGGAAGAAAUCGCACGGGCUAAUACCCUGUGUGGAUGACGGUACCGGAAUAAGAAGCACCGGCUAACUACGUGCCAGCAGCCGCCGUAACAC
rnacentral:rRNA from 1 species